rnacentral:rRNA from 1 species
CCUACGGGGGGCAGCAGUGAGGAAUAUUGGUCAAUGGACGAGAGUCUGAACCAGCCAAGUAGCGUGAAGGAUGACUGCCCUAUGGGUUGUAAACUUCUUUUAUAUGGGAAUAAAACGUUCCACGUGUGGGAUUUUGUAUGUACCAUAUGAAUAAGGAUCGGCUAACUCCGUGCCAGCAGCCGCGGUAAUACGGAGGAUCCGAGCGUUAUCCGGAUUUAUUGGGUUUAAAGGGAGCGUAGGUGGAUUGUUAAGUCAGUUGUGAAAGUUUGCGGCUCAACCGUAAAAUUGCAGUUGAAACUGGCAGUCUUGAGUACAGUAGAGGUGGGCGGAAUUCGUGGUGUAGCGGUGAAAUGCUUAGACAUCACGAAGAACUCCGAUUGCGAAGGCAGUUCACUGGACUGCAACUGACACUGAGGCUCGAAAGUGUGGGUAUCAAACAGGAUUAGAUACCCUAGUAGUC